GCAGAGCACCAGCAGUGACAGUCCCACCAGAACCGCAUGGAAUAGAAAACUGUGCAUUUCCCUAAGGAAAGGGAAUGCCAGAGAAGGGCAGAAGGGAAAUCAGGAAGACAAAACGUGUCUUCAUGUUGGAGUGGACCUUUCCUCUAUCUGUCAACAGAAUGGAUAAAUUGUGGAAGAGUAAUAUCAGAAUACUACACAUCAGUAAAAAACAACAAACUUCUGCUACAAACAAUCAACAUCGAUGAAUCUUUCAGGCAAAAGGUUAUAGAAACAGAUGAUCAGUGGCCCACGGAUUCCAGGUGAGGAUCUGGGACCCAGACAUCCAGAUAUUGAAAACACAGGGAUGGAGUCUGUAUGGAAAAAAUUAAAAUAUAGCAAAAUGUGAAAUACGGAAGAGAAAUCUUUCAAUUUCCCAAUGGAAGUGAGAAAAGAGCAAAGAAAAGUAUUGGUCUUCCAAAACAAAUAGAGGACGGAGCUGCUGCUGUUGCAUGGUGUCUAGAAACUCAGACAACUUCAUCAUUCCAUAUUUGCAUCCAAGAGAGAGAAAGAAAAACUACAAUCAUUUUCCAUUUACCCAUCAACCCAUCAACCUCCAAAUAAAGGCUAUUAAAAAACAAUCAAAGUGUGAAGAGGGCAGAAAAUGUGAUGAAGAGAUUCUUUGGAGAAAGUAGCUGCCACUGUUACCUUGGGAUCUGCCUAUAGUCCUCACAGAGCUUGAGACAGGGUCUCACUAUGUUGCCCCAGUUGGCCUUGAACUGCUGGACUCAAGGGAUCCUCCUGCCUCAGCAUCCUGAGUAGCUGGGUCUACAGGCAUGAACCACCAGGCCCAGAACCCUGUCUUUUGAAAGCCAUAUGCGAUCUGUCUGCCCUGAAGUGACUACUUCAUCUCCAACCAGCCCUUGGCUGGCAAAGUCAGGAAGACUCCAGUCUUUCCUGAAGACCAGGGGAGAGUUUAUAACUCUAGCAUCAAAGUCAGCAGCUGUUCAUCUAGAAGACAACUUCCCAAAAGUCAAUGUCUUUGCCUGAAGCUUUUCUUCCCAGAUCUCCUAUGGUGAAACAACCAAAGGGAAGAAGAAUGUGGGCAGCCCUCAGUAAGACAGGAGAUGAGCAUCAACAUUGACCCAUUCUUUCUUCCAGUCCUCGAUGCUUACCUUGUACAUUCUUCUUUGUCUUCCGACUCAGUGCCUUUAGGGUAUGGACGUUGCCUGGUCCCACACAAGCCAAGCAUCAAAUGGAUGGCUCAACAAGGAGGCCAAGACCAGCUAAUGUUUAGUGAGCACCCAAAGGGGCCACACUGGAGAGAACAGCACAGCUCCGUCUGAGAAACAGCUGUUCCUUCCUGCCUGAGAGGCAGAGUGAUAGAAGAUAUCACAGAAUGUUGCUGCUUUGUCUUCCACCCUGAACCCUCCACGACCUCCCUGUAGCUUCCUGAUUUUAAGUAGACAUCAAAUGAUUCUUAAUCCUUUCUGGGUCUUGGAACGAUUUGAAAAUUGUCAACAGUACUGGGAUUCCCAGAAUAAUGCACAUAUGUACAUACUCAGAUAUUCCCCAAGCCCUGGAUAUAAUUUUAAGGGAGUUCACAGACCACACUCCCCCACCCAUCUGUGGACCCAGAUUCUGUGGGUUCGAGAUUCAGAAGCCCUGUUUCUAGGCAGGCCCUCUGUUGCUAACGCCCCUCGAGAACAUCACCCUAGAUGAUUAUCCCUUCUUCCUCCACUCCUUCCCACCUUCUCCAACUGCUGGGUUUCAGCACAAAGAUUGCUUGCCAGUUAAACUGGCACCAUGGACCGCACAGUAGUUGUUUCUUGGGUCUAGAGGAAACAGCCAGAUUCCUUUAAGUAAAUCAUGUCUUAGUUAUUGAUUGUCUCCACUUGAAGUUUUUGACAAUCUCUGAUUAAAUCAUAAACCACUGCA
ensembl:lncRNA LINC02290 long intergenic non-protein coding RNA 2290